GCCAAUGUGGUAUAGUGGUUUGAGCAUUUUAACUACAACACUGGAGACAAGGGUUCAAAUCCCUGCUUGGACA